AUACGGAGGGUGCAAGCGUUAUCCGGAUUUAUUGGGUUUAAAGGGUCCGCAGGCGGAUUAAUAAGUCAGUGGUGAAAUCCUCUCGCUCAACGAGAGAACUGCCAUUGAAACUGUUAGUCUUGAAUUCGGUCGAAGUAGGUGGAAUGUGUCAUGUAGCGGUGAAAUGCAUAGAUAUGACACAGAACACCGAUAGCGAAGGCAGCUUACUAGACCUGGAUUGACGCUCAUGGACGAAAGCGUGGGGAGCGAACAGGAUUAGAAACCCGAGUAGUCC
rnacentral:rRNA from 1 species